UCUUUAGGGAUACGUACUUGAUCUAACUUGUUCAUCUCAGAUCCUGGCCUCCAUUGAGCUUUUGGCACGCUCCCUACCCAAGAUCCACCGCAGCGCCUCUGAACCGUCCCUCAAUCGCGCUGGCUUCCAGACGGAAGACUUCAGUCUGUACGCCUGCGCCUCUCCAAAAACACCCAUUCAGGCUGGAGGCUAUGGAGAAUUCUCAGCAUUUAAGUAGUGCCACCAGCUGAAAAGUCCAUCCCUCGUCACUUUUUAAGAUGUCUUGUGUUCCUGCAGUGGGUUCAUCCAUAAAACAGAAAAAAACACCUAGUUUCAAAGAAUGUGCUGUUUUUCUUCCUCUUUACCUGAAGAGCAACGGUGUUGAUGGAAUCGCUAAAAAAUAAUAAAAACAAACAAAAAAAAUUCAAGGUGGGGGGGGACUCAGCUGGGAUCCAUCGCUGAUUUUAAGGAAAAAAUAUCAUAACCUGAAAACAAGAAAACUUGAAAUGAUGCGCAUAAAAUAAAAUUGACACUGAAGUUGCGAAACCUUCGAGGUGGCCACCGGAUGAAAGAGGAGACAAAUGCAGGACGUGAGGAUGAAGCGUCAGAAGUCUCGCCUUGAGGAGGAAAAAAGGACGACUGACUUUUGGAGACGUGAAAACAGAAAGGGCCGAUGAACGGUGCUUAAGAUUGUCUAGCCUUUCUGUGUUUCUGCUGGUGUCAGCAUGCAGUGCUGACCAAAUGGAGCACAGGAUUUACACAUUGACCAACGGCAUGAUUCUGUAGUAGAGAAUAGAGCGAGCGAUACCGUGUCCUUAUUUGCAGUUUCUCUUUGGAUAUCAUAAGGGAAUGAGGUUGGAUCUCAACCGAUCUCUGAGAGGACGUCAGGAGAUGACUUGAAUGAUGUUACGAGACGUUUCUUUUUCUUUGUACUGAGUUUGUUUUGAUGUUGCCUAAGGCCAGAGCUGCUGAUAAUGUUUUUGUCCUCUUUGUUUUUAUUCGUUUUGUUUUUGAUUUUUCGUUUGCUUUGUCCCACAGCUUUGCUUUUUCAGUAACAUGAUGUCAGAUCAAGUACAUUCCUUUGUGGAGACGGGUAAAGCAUCAGUAGAUUUUUUUUUUUUUUUUUUUUUUUUUUUUUUUUUUUUUUUUUUUUUUGGACUUUGCUUUUUGGGCUUCGUUUACAGAGGAACGGUAGUGGAAUGUUUGUUUGGGAGAUAUCCAAUAUUGCCCAAACAAAUAUGCUCCAUUCUACUGGAUGGUGACUGUGAUAUUCAUUAUAACUACAUGCCACCCCAAGGAAUCUUUUGUUGUAUUUAUAAAUGUGGUGUGAGCCAUAUGAAAAAGCUCAUGAGCUUUGUUACGGACUCACAAAGACAAGUAAGAUCCAUUAAUAAAAUUAGCCAUUUUAUUGUAGCGACCUGAGGGGGUUUACUGCAAGGCUGAAAGUGAUGUAGGAUCAAGUUCAUGCUUUGUCAUAUUGAGUACAGCUUCAUAAGGAUGGAGAGCUCAUCAUAGAUCAGCUGUUCUGGAACCUACCAGAGAUGCCCGUGUGCCCAAAUGUUCAAUUCUACAUCCAUCAUUUACUUUAUAUUAGCAGAGCAUCUUUUAGCAGAUUAAUGCUACUGCCAGACUUGCUGUGAAGUGGCCGAGAGAAACUAAUGCUAUGUCCUUUGUUCUGAGCUUUGACUUCAGACAGAAUUGAGACAUCCUUAAGGACCAUACCACCCCCCCCCCUUUGGGCAUCCAUUCCAGUGUAUCUGUUGAGUUUAUGUUUUUGUGUCUUUUCAUGGACAGGCAGGCCUGCAGAAUAGAUUUAUUUAUGUAGCUUUAAUUUUAUUCCAUUUUCUCCCUCGCCUCUAGGAGAGAUUCUUUUUUUCGUUCAUUUGUUUUUGUUUUUUUAAAGCUACUUGUUUUCUGUGAUUGCUUAAAUGGAUGUUAAGCUGUGUCCUUUGCACUUUUGUAAAACAUUGAUGCAAAACAAGCAAUUUGCCUUUCAAUGGACAAAAACAUUUUUGUCAACGUUUCUAAGCAUGACUAAAUAUUCUCUGUAUCACAAUGGGAUUAAAAUGCCAUUACACAUUAGGAGAUAGAGCCAGAACUUUAGGGGGGGAAAGGAAACAGACCACACCAUUUUUAAAAAUGAAUGCGAUUUCUGACACUGUGUUGACGCUUGUUGGAUAUUUCAGAUGACACAUUUUAACAGAAUGCAGGUUGCAGAUCUGUCUGCUUGUUACCAGUUUGCUCUCUAUUAUGUACAACACUGCACACUUCUCUGUAUCUUACAUCUUUCAGAUGCCCAAAUUGCUCAUUAGACUGAUCGAUUAGAGGCUUCUCAAAGAAUCUGUCACUUACGCUCCAUUACAUAGACGAGAACUUCUACCCAGUUCCUUUUUUUUUUUUUUUUUUGAAGGAUGGAAUUGUUUUCAUUUUUUUUCUCUCAGUAUCAGUGAUGACACUCUGUGAAUUCAUUAUUAACCAUAAAGUGUACACAAGGAAGUGCACGAGUCUUUCGAAGGAGCCCUGUUGGAUGUGACAGCGUUCAGUCUCCUCAAGCUUUGGAGAUAUUUAAAUGGACCAGUUCUUGCUCUCAUGCUGUGGACUCUUCCAACCCUCCUUUUAGUUGGCAGACCUUAAAGCCGGACGCAAGGAAAUAACGGAGGUGAGAUUUUAAGAGUGCUGUAUUUAUUUUCAAGAUUUUCUUAUUUUAUAUGAGAAUGUUACUAAAGAAGUUUAUCUUUCGAAGGAUUGCUCACUUGACUGUGGAACACUUGGGGACAGUUCCUUUUUUCCCCUUUUUUGGGGUCUUCUAAAAGCCCUUUUCCUCUUCGCUUCUUUUCAGAUAUUUUAGUUUUGUGUCCCCUUCGUGUCCUUUCUCUUCCCCGCCCACCCUUUCCAGCCACUUUUGUUCCUUUGCAUUGCCUGCACCUUAACCCCCUAGUAUAAGUUAAUUCAACUGAGAACUAUCAUAAAAGCUUUUGGGAGACUCUUUUCACCUGUAAAUAGCUGUACAAAGGAAAUACUGUCCGUUUGCUAGGAGGCAUGGAGUUAAAAAAUGUUUCCAAUGAAGAAAUAAAGGUUAAGAAAAGACAUUUUGAUAGAUGAAAUUCUGAAAAAAAAUUCUGUGUAAAAAUAUUUAAGAUUGUAUAAUAUAAAAGAAGAAAGAGCUUAAUGUAUUUGUUGUGAAUAUGAAAAACUGAUAUAUUAAAGAAGUGCAUGAAAACUGUCA